UAAGAAGUCGGGAAUCCUGGAACGGAAUGGCAUUAGACUGAGACACGGAAGAGCCGCAGGAUCUAUCGCUGGGGAAGAGCAUUCCAGACAGGGAGGAACUCGUGCCGAAUGAUCCCGCUGUGGACAGGUUGAGAGCAGAAUUUUAAUAGGCAAAAGAAAGAGAAGAGCUCUCUGCUGCAGACAGGAGUCCUGGAGAAAUGGGUUGCCCUCUUUUUUCUUUUUCUUUUUUUGAGACAGUCUCUCACUGUCACCCAGGCUGGAAUUCAGUGGCGCAUUCGUACCUCGCUGCAGCCUCAACCUCCUAGGCUCAAUUGAUCCUCCCACCUCAGCCUCCCGAGUAGCUGGGACUAUAGCUGGCAGAGCCUUUAUUAUUAUCAUCGUCCGUGGACCAGUGCAAGUGAGAUGAAUGUGCAAGGCUGUAAUGAGAGUGAACUCCUGGGUUAGCACACGCUUCACUGAAGCAAGGUCACAGGCUUGCUCUGUAAAGUCAAGGCCACUUUUCCUGUAUGGCAGUAAACCAUCUCUAGACAUGGGCGACCUGUGGGAGAGAACAGAAUUGGAGCAAUGCAGCAGAUGCACACAACCAGCAAACGUAGAGCUGGAAUCCGAAGUCAAUGCAUGUGAACGUCCCAGCUCAGAGAGAGGCGGUGAGCAGGAGAGGACUGGGUGAAAAUGGUUCGCACACACACAACUUUGUCUUCAUCAUUUAGUCCUCCAGGGUGUCACAUGGACUACGCCACUUGACCUCCACAGCAAGUCUGUGGCAUUUGUGCACCAGAAACUUUAUCCCUAUUUUGCCAGCGAGGAAACUUAGGUUUGGAGCGGGUAAAUCACCGCACAAAGCCUUACUGUAAAGAGCGCCAGGCCUCAAACUUUUGCUGGCACUGUCCUUCGCAGUUUACUUUAGGGCCUGUCAUUUACUGGGGUGAAACACAAAAGUUCCUUGUCCCCGAAAGACUGCAAUUAAAGUGCCAUUAGCACAGUAAUGUACCAACCAGUUGUUCCUUGGGCCGCAAGGGGGCAUGUCUACUGCUACUCAGUCUCAGUGGGUAAACUGGAGAGUCCUCCCACAAUGAGCAGAUUCCGAGGCGGGUGUGUACAUGGAAGGACUCACAGGGGUUGGGGAGGCAGCAGUGGCGUUCUGUCCAAGCCUGUUUGUGUUGCUAUAAAGGAAUACUCGAGGCUGGGUAACUUAUGAAGAAAAGAGGUUUAUUUGGCUCAAGGUUCUGCAGGCUGUACAAGAAACAUGGCGCCAGCAUCUGCUUCUGGUGAGGCCCUCAGGGAGCUUCCACUCAUGGCAGAAGGGGAAGGGGAGCUGGCAUCAGAUGGCAAGAGAGGAAGGAAGAGAGGAGUGCGGGAGGUGCCAGGCUUGUUUCAACAUCAGCUCUGGCAAAAAGUAACAGGGCAAGAACUCACUCCUUCCCGAGGGGACAAGAGGAUGGCACCAAGAGGCACAUGACCCCAAGACUCCCAGUAGGCUCCACCACCAACACCAGGAAUCAGAUUUCAACAUGAGAUUUGGAGGGACCAGGUAUCCAAUCUAUCCAUCCACUCCAAGCAUCCAUUUGACACCCAGAAUGCAUUAUUUCAGCACCCGUAUCCAUUCAACAAAACUAUUUUAAAUUAUAAUCAUGUAAUAGGAAUAAUCAUCAUUUUCCUAAUUAUUCUUCAGUUUCAAAACCAAAAAUUGGCAGGGCAU